UGUCAGGCUUCUGUUAGAGCAACGUGGCAUUGCUCCCAGAGGUGCCAGGACGAUACAUUAUACAUAACAAGUAGAGGAAGCUAGUUCAAUGACCAAUCGAGAACAAGCUUUUAAUGUGUGUGCAGCUGAAAGCCACAUCAGUUCUGCUUGGAUCAUCUGAGAGCAUCAAAGUUAGGACGAACCAAGAUUAGACAAAAUGACACAAUGCACCAUUAAAAUGCUGCUUAAACAACAGCACCAACUCAUAAUGCAACAGUACAUGAGUUCAUGCAGCUUCCACUGAAGACAAUUCUCGCCUGCUUUGCUGAGUCUACAGAACGGAUCUCAUCAACAUGUACUUGUUGUUUUCUAGGAUAGACGUCAUUAACAGAAACCUGGCACAAAUGACUAUGGAGCAGCGAGAGGCCUUUGGCUCGUGGUACAACAAAGUCAUGGCCUCAAACGCCAUCGCCACAGGUGGACAGUCCUUCAUCAGGAACGCCGGAAACCUGAUCGCCUACUUGCCCUUCUACAACUUCCAACACCUCACAUCUGCUCAGGUAACGGCCCUCUGAGCUCUGACACCUGACUGGGAAACCCGAGCAGCCGGGACUGCUUGAGUUCGAUUAGCCACGGGGCACAGUGGAGUCACAGCCGAGUCACAGCCUCUCCAAUGCUCGUGACCAAUGUUCAAUAAAUAAACAAAGGAAUGAUUCAAUUAUUAAUGGGCAGGAUAUAGAUAGACUUGUCUAUUCAUUCAGCUCUCCUUAAGAAAUGGAUAUAAAUAUAAGCCACAAUGUCUAAUAUUUACUUCCACUUCUACUAAAUGUGAUGACAUUUGAAUAACAUUUCAUGUUGUUGUCGCUUUAUGUCUCAUUCUGUUUGUUCCCAGCUGUUUGAUGGGCUGGAUGUGCUGCAGAGAAACACCCUCACGCCUCUAAAACGGGUAUUUGUUGCUCAGAGCAUCAUCGGCUCCUACAGGAACCUGACAGCCCAGGACUUUAUUAGGCUGGGUAACCUCACAUGUUUGGCUGAUCCAAAUGACAUCCUUGUCUACAAAGACACUGAGGCGUUCAGCGUGAUCCAGGACAUUGUUGAGAACUGUUCUCGUGCAGGACUCAGUCUGCCGAGCUCUCUGGUAAAAACAAUCUAUUGUACUAUUAUCAUUAUUAUUAUUAUUAGGUCUUUCAUAGUUGUGCUUCCACUUUGACCAGUGUUAUAACACCUCUCUCCUUGUCCAGAUUUCCAACGUGUUACUGACCGGCCCGGACCUGAAGGCCCCGUCCUCGCUCGGCGCCGCUCGCCUGGCACAGCUGGCCGCUGCCCGCCUCCUGCCCUGGCUGAGCCUCAGCUUCCUGCAGGGCCUCACGCCGUCACAGCUGCUCGCCGCCCUGCCUGCCCUCAGCUCCGUUUCCUUCAGCCCUGCGCAGGUAGGACCGUUAGCGCAUGAAUAAUAUAGAGCGCGCGACAUACGGCGGUGGUAUGUAUGAGCGUCAUCUGCAGGUCAGCGCCCGGUGCAUUUUAACAUGCAUCAUUUUGUACGGGUGAACUGAUUCCUUAUUGAGAUAAACAUCAGGUGUCAGUGAAUGGGGCUUCACUUUCAGCCGCUCCAGACCCUCUUUGUCGCGCACGGUUGAGUUUCCUGGCAGCUGGUCGGGCUCCUGAGGAACAGCUGACAGGCUGAAGCCAAGACCUGAGCUUUUCCUGACUUUCAGCUGUCACCUGAACCACAGCAAAUUCCUUUUUCUCCUUUUUACCUCUGCCUCGCAGCUGUCGGCUUUAUACUCCAUUAAAAACUUGAGAGUUU
ensembl:lncRNA